CCCCUGGGCCAUAGCAGCCUGAGGGCACCCCUGCCUGCAAGCCAAGCAGGGACAAGCCUGGCUGUGGCUUGGAUGGGUGACUAUCUGGGCAGACCCGGUCUUUGGCUCUGGGCU
ensembl:rRNA 5S_rRNA 5S ribosomal RNA